AUUGAACGCUGGCGGCAGGCUUAACACAUGCAAGUCGAACGAUGAUUUCCCAGCUUGCUGGGAAUGAUUAGUGGCGGACGGGUGAGUAACAUUUAGGAAUCUGCCUAGUAGUGGGGGAUAGCUCGGGGAAACUCGAAUUAAUACCGCAUACGACCUACGGGUGAAAGGGGGCGCAAGCUCUUGCUAUUAGAUGAGCCUAAAUCAGAUUAGCUAGUUGGUGGGGUAAAGGCCCACCAAGGCGACGAUCUGUAACUGGUCUGAGAGGAUGAUCAGUCACACCGGAACUGAGACACGGUCCGGACUCCUACGGGAGGCAGCAGUGGGGAAUAUUGGACAAUGGGGGCAACCCUGAUCCAGCCAUGCCGCGUGUGUGAAGAAGGCCUUUUGGUUGUAAAGCACUUUAAGCAGGGAGGAGAGGCUAAUGGUUAAUACCCAUUAGAUUAGACGUUACCUGCAGAAUAAGCACCGGCUAACUCUGUGCCAGCAGCCGCGGUAAUACAGAGGGUGCGAGCGUUAAUCGGAAUUACUGGGCAUAAAGCGAGUGUAGGUGGCUCAUUAAGUCACAUGUGAAAUCCCCGGGCUUAACCUGGGAACUGCAUGUGAUACUGGUGGUGCUAGAAUAUGUGAGAGGGAAGUAGAAUUCCAGGUGUAGCGGUGAAAUGCGUAGAGAUCUGGAGGAAUACCGAUGGCGAAGGCAGCUUCCUGGCAUAAUAUUGACACUGAGAUUCGAAAGCGUGGGUAGCAAACAGGAUUAGAUACCCUGGUAGUCCACGCCGUAAACGAUGUCUACUAGCCGUUGGGGUCCUUGAGACUUUAGUGGCGCAGUUAACGCGAUAAGUAGACCGCCUGGGGAGCACGGCCGCAAGGUUAAAACUCAAAUGAAUUGACGGGGGCCCGCACAAGCGGUGGAGCAUGUGGUUUAAUUCGAUGCAACGCGAAGAACCUUACCUGGUCUUGACAUAGUGAGAAUCCUGCAGAGAUGCGGGAGUGCCUUCGGGAAUUCACAUACAGGUGCUGCAUGGCUGUCGUCAGCUCGUGUCGUGAGAUGUUGGGUUAAGUCCCGCAACGAGCGCAACCCUUUUCCUUAUUUGCCAGCGGGUUAAGCCGGGAACUUUAAGGAUACUGCCAGUGACAAACUGGAGGAAGGCGGGGACGACGUCAAGUCAUCAUGGCCCUUACGACCAGGGCUACACACGUGCUACAAUGGUAGGUACAGAGGGUUGCUACACAGCGAUGUGAUGCUAAUCUCAAAAAGCCUAUCGUAGUCCGGAUUGGAGUCUGCAACUCGACUCCAUGAAGUCGGAAUCGCUAGUAAUCGCAGAUCAGAAUGCUGCGGUGAAUACGUUCCCGGGCCU
rnacentral:rRNA from 1 species